rnacentral:rRNA from 1 species
AGCGAACGCUGGCGGCAGGCCUAACACAUGCAAGUCGAACGAACCUUUCGGGGUUAGUGGCGGACGGGUGAGUAACACGUGGGAACGUGCCUUUAGGUUCGGAAUAACUCAGGGAAACUUGUGCUAAUACCGAAUGUGCCCUUCGGGGGAAAGAUUACUCGCCUUUAGAGCGGCCCGCGUCUGAUUAGCUAGUUGGUUGAGGUAAUGGCUCACCAAGGCGACGAUCAGUAGCUGGUCUGAGAGGAUGAUAAGCCACAUUGGCACUGAGACACGGCCCAAACUCCUACGGGAGGCAGCAGUGGGGAAUCUUGCGCAAUGGGCGAAAGCCUGACGCAGCCAUGCCGCGUGAAUGAUGAAGGUCUUAGGAUUGUAAAAUUCUUUCACCGGGGACGAUAAUGACGGUACCCGGAGAAGAAGCCCCGGCUAACUUCGUG